rnacentral:rRNA from 1 species
CGCACGGGUGAGUAACACGUGGGUAAUCUACCUUCAGGUCUGGGAUAACCCGGGGAAGCUCGGGCUAAUACCGGAUGAGACCACGAACCGGAAGGAACGUGGGAAAAGUGGGGUCUUUCUUCGGAAACCUCACGCCAGGGGAUGAGCUCGCGGCCCAUCAGCUUGUUGGCGGGGUAACGGCCCACCAAGGCUAAGACGGGUAGCUGGUCUGAGAGGAUGAUCAGCCACACUGGGACUGAGACACGGCCCAG